AUUGAACGCUGGCGGCAUGCUUUACACAUGCAAGUCGAACGGUAGAGGGGGCAACCCCUUGAGAGUGGCGAACGGGUGAGUAAUGUAUCGGAACGUGCCCAGUCGUGGGGGAUAACGUAGUGAAAAUUACGCUAAUACCGCAUACGAUCUAUGGAUGAAAGCAGGGGAUCGCAAGACCUUGCGUUAUACGAGCGGCCGAUGUCAGAUUAGCUAGUUGGUGAGGUAAAGGCCCACCAAGGCGACGAUCUGUAGCUGGUCUGAGAGGACGACCAGCCACACUGGGACUGAGACACGGCCCAGACUCCUACGGGAGGCAGCAGUGGGGAAUUUUGGACAAUGGGCGCAAGCCUGAUCCAGCAAUGCCGCGUGCAGGAAGAAGGCCUUCGGGUUGUAAACUGCUUUGUACGGAACGAAAAGGUACUGGGUUAAUACCCUGGCUCAUGACGGUACCGUAAGAAUAAGCACCGGCUAACUACGUG
rnacentral:rRNA from 1 species